UUUUAAAAUCCUCAGGCAAGCACAGUAUCCUUGUAAUUUCCUCCGGAUCCACCAGGGGGCACUCACAGGAGCAACGAGUCCAGAGUACAGUUAGUCAACCAGGAAGCCGAAGGGAAGUGAUGUCAUCAAGAUUCUCAUAGUGAAGGCGGAAGCUGGACGCCACCAUUGUUCCCCAGAGGGAGGGGGGGCCUCAAACCCUCCCUCCUAAAUUUCUCCAUCACCUCUUCUCUCCAGAGCUCCACAAAACCGGCGUCCUAUAGACCAUUGUCUCUACAUCUUGGCAAGUCGGGGAACUGGGACGUUGUCACCUACCUCACAAACCACAGAACGUCCCAUCUCACUAAAUGAAGAAGGAAAUUCAAAUCCCUACGAAGACGUGUGUCCGGCGGACUGCCAAAAUCUGCUUUUACCGGCGUCAGUUUUUGCGAUGUCAGUUCAGCUUUGGAGCAGUUGCCCCGUUGGUCUUCUCCAACAGCUCACGACAAUCCUGGAGUUCACCUGCAGUUCAACGCACGUAGCGACGUGCAACAAACUCCAAGCAGACAUUGGCAAGGUGUCCAAAAGGGGAUAUGACAAUUCAGCGAGGACUAGAAACUCUGAUAGUGUUUGGAAGAAGAUGAAUGAAUAUAUAAAUAACAGCAUGUACAGUCUUCCAACUCUCUGUUGAACCCAAUAAGGAAAUAUAAUAUUUGACUGAAGGCAUAGAAAAACUGCUGGUGCUUCAGGGACCACUUAAGGCUCAUAUAGAAGCAAGAAGACAGGAAUAAUUAAUGGUUCUGUAUAAAACCAGAGAAGCUAAUUCUCUUAGGCACAUAUUUCCAGCCUUUAAGCCUUAUAAUCCUGGAUAUAAACAUACUAUCCAACAAAGUGUUUUAAUCAUGGCUCUCGUAAAGCCAUUUUUCCUAUACAGAUUCAUUUUAUGGGCAACCUUAGAUUCGGUUCAAGCUCUUGCUGGAAUUAUUACUGCAAAUUCAAAGCCCUUUUAGAGAGUGUGUGAUCUGAUAUGAGAAGCAGCAUCUCUGGGGACAGGGGAAAAACCGAAUUAUAUG